UCCUCUCUUCCAGCUCUCAGAGAUGGAGACAGACACACUCCUGCUAUGGGUGCUGCUACUCUGGGUUCCAGGCUCCACUGGUGACAUUGUGCUGACCCAAUCUCCAGCUUCUUUGGCUAUGUCUCUAGGGCAGACGGUCACCAUUUCCUGCAUAGCCAGUGAAAGUGUUGAUAAUUAUGGCUAUAGUCUUAUGAACUGGUACCAACAAAAACAAGGACAGCCACCCAAACUCCUCAUCUAUGAUGCAUCCACCCUACAAUCUGGGGUCCCUGCCAGGUUUAGUGGCAGAGGGUCUGGGAAAGACUUCACCCUCAGCAUCCAUCCUGUGGAGGAGGAGGAUAUUGCAGACUAUUAUUGUCAGCAAAGUAAGGAGGUUCCUCCCACAGUGCUCCAGGGCUGA